rnacentral:rRNA from 1 species
UACAGAGGGGGCAAGCGUUAUUCGGAUUCAUUGGGCGUAAAGGGUGCGUAGGCGGCGGGGCAAGUCUGAUGUGAAAUCCCGGGGCUCAACCCCGGAACUGCAUUGGAUACUGCCUUGCUUGAGUACUGGAGAGGAGACUGGAAUUUACGGUGUAGCAGUGAAAUGCGUAGAGAUCGUAAGGAAGGCCAGUGGCGAAGGCGAGUCUCUGGACAGUAACUGACGCUGAGGCACGAAGGCCAGGGGAGCAAACGGG